CAGGCAUUGAUUGGUGCAGGGUCUAUAGUUCAAGUAACCUGCCUUGGGGUGCCAGCAGAGUGGUAACCCAGUAAUAAAAAGCUUGAAGAGGCAGGAAUACUGUGCAGAGGAAAUGCUUUAAAAUGCUUUCUAUGACCAUGGCAACUCUGAACAGUUUUCUUCCUGUCAGUGAGCAUGGAGAAGACCUGGAGAACUCCAGAAUGGCCCAAUGAACCAAAGGGGACUACUGAAUAACAAACAGCAACCCAAAUCUCCUAAUUAUGUGGCAGAUUGUUUCCUUAGAAGAAAAACAAGCUUAAUGUGGAUACAAGAGGACUGGAAAACAACACAUCAAAAUUAUCCACAAAGAUGAGACAGCAAUUUCAUGACAGAAAAAGAAACUGAAGUAAAUGUUUUGGAACCCUGGUGCAGGAGGAGAAUUUUAGACCUUGAUUACCCAGUGCCUUGAAUUUACAGCCUUUCCAUUCCAGAAGCUUUAUUAGAGAAGCAAAGGUCUCAGUCUUUUCAUCUUGGAGGCUGUGAGGAAGGACUGCACAG